rnacentral:rRNA from 1 species
GAUGAACGCUGGCGGCGUGCCUAAUACAUGCAAGUCGAGCGAAUGGAUUAAGAGCUUGCUCUUAUGAAGUUAGCGGCGGACGGGUGAGUAACACGUGGGUAACCUGCCCAUAAGUCUGGGAUAACUCCGGGAAACCGGGGCUAAUACCGGAUAACAUUUUGAACCGCAUGGUUCGAACUUGAAAGGCGGCUUCGGCUGUCACUGAUGGAUGGACCCGCGUCGCAUUAGCUAGUUGGUGAGGUAACGGCUCACCAAGGCAACGAUGCGUAGCCGACCUGAGAGGGUGAUCGGCCACACUGGGACUGAGACACGGCCCAGACUCCUACGGGAGGCAGCAGUAGGGAAUCUUCCGCAAUGGACGAAAGUCUGACGGAGCAACGCCGCGUGAGUGAUGAAGGCUUUCGGGUCGUAAAACUCUGUUGUUAGGGAAAAACAAGUGCUAGUUGAAUAAGCUGGCACCUUGACGGUACCUAACCAGAAAGCCACGGCUAACUACGUGCCAGCCGCCGCGGUAA